rnacentral:rRNA from 1 species
CCUACGGGAGGCAGCAGUGAGGAAUAUUGGUCAAUGGACGCAAGUCUGAACCAGCCAUGCCGCGUGCAGGAUGACGGCGCGAUGAGUUGUAAACUGCUUUUGUACGAGGGGAAACCCCGAUACGUGUAUCGGGUUGAAAGUAACGUACGAAUAAGGAUCGGCUAACUCCGUGCCAGCAGCCGCGGUAAUACGGAGGAUCCGAGCGUUAUCCGGAUUUAUUGGGUUUAAAGGGUGCGUAGGCGGUUUGCUAAGUUAGAGGAGAAAUGUCGGGGCUCAACCCCGAAACUGCCUCUCAUACUGUUGGCCUCUAGCAUAGUUGCGGUAGGCGGAAUGUUUGGUGUAGCGGU